AUGCGGCCUUUCACCUCGGCAUGCUUGAUUUCGACCGUUCUGGGACUCCAUUCGUGUCCUAUGCAUCUGUCCGUGGCAGCGGGAAUGAUCAACAGGAUCUCGGAGAACGACAUCAACUGCAAGGUUCGACAACGGAUGGAGCAUUUCAUCUGGGCCGCCUUGAUUUUGCUCCUUCCCGGAAUCCAUUCAUCUGCAGCAGUCGACGACAGCGGGAAUGAUCAACAGCGACAUACGUGUUGAUCGUUCAUCGUUCCGUGUUCGUCGACAACCGGAGCUGAUUGGCAGCCUAGAAGAAGCAAUACAAAUGAAGCCGAGAUUAAGUAGGUGUCCAUUGCCAUUCACUGGUAGGUGUCGAGCGUUCUUCCUCUUAGCUGUUGACAUUCUAUAAUGUGCAUGGUGGAAGAUACAUACAACAAUGUUUGUGUUUAUGCCCGUUCGGACAAGCUUGGUUUGUUUUGCAGCAUAAUCUCAAACGCUUUCUGAAAAUCCAGGCAAAUAAUACCAACCUGCGUCCCCUUCGUCUAAUGCUAAACCAAAAUCAUAGACUGCUUCGACUAAUUGGGUAGACGUAGAAACACCACCACGAAACCCGUGCUGGUUGAGGGAAAAGAACUUGUGGCUGUCGAGGUAAUCCCCGAGGUAACAACUAAUGAGACGUUCUAAGAUUUUGCAAGGAAGGGAGUUGCCUCAGGACAGAAGCCGCCGAUAUUUCGAACAGAGACUGUUCUUCUUCUCGACACCGUCCUCAUCAUUGGCAUGGUAUUUAAAGGGUUAGGUGUGAUGUGUUUAAAGGUUCAUGCGAAUUGUGGGUCAACAGCCCGGAGGGAAGAAAGGGUCCGUACGGGCUUCUACGGCCGGAGUGAAUGGCUGCUUUGUUAGAGUGGGGAGGGGAUUAUGGGAUGCUGUUGUUGACGUGGUUGACGGUUGCUCGACGAUGAAGUGACAUUCUUCCAAACAUAGAGGAGCGGGGAAUUCCCGAACUGUUGCCAUGAUCUCCGACGGAACUCGGAAGGCAUCAUCUUCCGUUAUUGUUGUUCUGACGCAUGAGUACCAUGAGUACGAUGAUAAAAGCAGCACCUGCAAUAAAGACAGCAGCAUGUUUUUAGCAGAUGUUGACGAGGUGUCGCGCCACCUUUGCGCUUUAUAUUUUACGCUUGCUUUGACAGCAGUUUGGAUUCAUAUUAAAAGCAGUAAAAAAACCCCAGUGCGAGGGGACAACGAAAAAGGACGAAAGACAGACAACACAGCACUGUACUGCCAACCAAAGACUUUUAUUCCUGAAACAUCUCCCUUUUUAUAACACAACCCUCUAUCCCGUUCCCUCUCCUGUCGAACAAUACAGAACCGCCACGCGAAGCACCUAGUCCACGAGAAAGUUCAACCCGCCCAGAUUUUAACUUUAUCUCAGUUUGGAUUCAUCUGUCUCGAUUAUGAAUGUUUUUCUCCUUGCUUGUCCAGAGCUGUCCUAACCUGCCCAGACAUGCUAUGAUGACGUCACACCUGACGUUCCAGGAUGUCCUGAACUGGUGGUCACAAGACAGAUAGUGGCGCCAGUUGGAGUGACGCUUUGCAACUAGGUAUCGUCACCUGUCUCUGUAACCAUGGAUCCAACGAUGCUCAGCGGCCGUUCCUGACCGCUUUCUUCAAGAUGGCGUCAUUGAUCUUCAACUUGACUGCCUGUUCUCCACUCUAUUUCUACCUAUUUUUUAUGAUCACGACUUGCGGGCAACAUGAAGAGCACACUGGACUCGUGUUAGAUGUUCCCAAUUAGUGUGAUGACUCACUUGAUGAUCCUAAUUACUGUGGGGGUCCUAAUCAGUUCUAACUGCUAAUUGCUGACGUCCAAAGUGCUUUGUUUGUUGCCCGCAAGUCGUGGUCAAUGAGUGCUACUGUCACCUUUUUUCGCUUACGUAGUUGUCACCAUUAACCGUACGCAAGAACCGCUUGGCCGAAUAUGUCGACACAGCUUUGCAGCCCGGCUUAUACGCGCGUACAAGGCUUGAGAACGUACCAUAUGCCAGCUGACAUUAUCUCGGAGAAAUGUUAACGCAUGUAAAAAAAUUUAUUCAAUAGUAAGAUAAUGUGUGAUAACAAGAAUGAUGAUUUAAACAUGUAUAUGUUAGUAUGGUGUGCUGCUGUUGAACGAUGUUGUUCACUUCGAAGAAACUGUUUCACGUCGAAUGUGUAUUGAGUGUUGUCAGUGUACGGUAUGAUAUACAAGCGAUAUUCCAAGUAUCUUAAAUGUAAAUAAAUUAUCCCUGUU